rnacentral:misc_RNA from 1 species
GGAAGGAUCAUUCUCAAAUGUAAUCAAGAACACUGCACUGAUUUUUCUCGGAGAGGAUGUGCCAGUGCUUCACAGUUCAUUUUCCAUGUCCAUAUUCUCAGUGUUAUCUUCCAGUUUCUUGCAGAAUGUCUCAAACAAUAAAUCCAUAGAAUCUUAACGGUGGAUACAUUGGUUUCUAGAACGAUGAAGAACGCAGCGAAGCGCGAUAUGUAGUGCGAAUUGCAGAAUUCAGUGAAUCAUCAAGUUUUCGAACGCAGCUUGCAAUCAUUGGUUAUUCCUUUGAUUGUGCUUCUCUGACAUGUUCCAACUCACAUGCUUUGUGCAUCACAGUUUCGACAAAUGCAACCUUUUAGAUUGCUUUGUUGAGGAGCAAUAGAGUUCUCUCUUUGCCUGGAAAGAACAUAAGCUUGCAGAAAGAAGUGCAGAUUAAAUCUUUUUUCACGCACGGAACUUUGCAUCUAAGCAGCACGUGUUCUUCUAUGGCAUUGACCAGAAUGUUUAGCUAAGAAAUUUUUCUCGAGGUUUCAAAUUAUUCAGCUUUCAUGUGUCAGGCGAAGUACGGAAACCCCCUGAAUUUAAGCAUAUAAAUAAGGGGAGGAAUAAAAACUAAAUAGGAUUCCCUAAGUAACGGCGAGUGAACAGGGAAAAGCUCAAGUCGGUAAUCCCUUUGGUUCAUCCAAAGUGAAAUGUGGCUUGUGGAGGCGUGUCCAGAGUGUGGCCCAGGUCAAAGUUCACUGGAAUGUGACGCUAGGGAGGGUGAUAGCCCCGUCCAUGAUUUGGAGUUCGCUUCGUACGGACCGUUUUCUGAGAGUCGGAUUGCUUGGGAGUGCAGUCUUAAUGGGAGGUAAAUUCCUUCCAAAGCUAAAUAUUUCUAGAAGACCGAUAGCAUACAAGUACCGCGAGGGAAAUGUGAAAAGGACUUUGAAAAGAGAGUUAAAAGUAUUUGAAACCGUUAACGAUCAAGCGAUGAGCUUUAUUGGUCGAUGUAAUGGCUUGGCUGAGCUGGAUAUUUGCUUUGCAGUUAUUCUGCUUGUGUCGAGCUUUUGCAGGUACAUGCGGGUAUUGGAUGUUCCAGAUGUAUGCUUCAGGAGGGUAGGUGUGUGAUUGCUUGCAUGAUCCCUGAAUGUCUGAAGAAUUUCCCGGAAUGUUUGAUACCUUUGUGUAUAUAUGAAGUUCAUUGACCCGUCUUGAAACACGGACCAAGGAGUGUAACGCUUGUGCAAGUAUUCGAAGUUGCAACUUCGUCUGCGUAAUGAAAGUAUAGGCGAGGAUUUAUCUUCGCUGAGAUGCCAAACCGUGUGGUUCGCGGUGUCAGCAUCGCCCGGCUGCUUCUUUUGUGAGCGGUUCGAGGCCGAGCACAGUCGAUACGACCCGAAAGAUGGUGAGCUAUACCUGCGCAGGGUGAAGCCAGGGGAAACUCUGGUGGAAGCUCGUAGCGGUACUGACGUGCAAAUCGUUCGUCUGACGUGGGUAUAGGGGCGAAAGACCUAUCGAACCAUCUAGUAGCUGGUUCCCUC